UAAUCGCCGACUUUUUUCAAGCUCGUGAUGAAGAAAGCUUGUUCUUUUGUUAGUAAUCUCCUUUUAACUUCUGGAUGAGAGUGCACUAGCUGAUGGAUAAGUGGAUAUUAUUUUAGGAUCCAGCAUUUUUGCUUUUGGAAUUCUAUGGCCUUACAUUAAUUGGACCUAUGAUGAUUAAUUCCUACGCAAAGGACUGUCAAAU